CCUACGGGAGGCAGCAGUAGGGAAUAUUGCGCAAUGGGGGAAACCCUGAAGCAGCAACGCCGCGUGGAGGAUGAAGGUUUUCGGAUUGUAAACCCCUUUUGGUAGAGAAGAUAAUGACGGUAUCUAACGAAUAAGCACCGGCUAACUCCGUGCCAGCAGCCGCGGUAAUACAGCGGGUGCAAGCGUUCCUCGGAAUCACUGGGCGUAAAGAGAGCGUAGGCGGGAUGGCAAGUCAGAUGUGAAAUCCUAUGGCUUAACCAUAGAACUGCAUUUGAAACUGGUAUUCUAGAGUAUGGGAGAGGUAAGUGGAAUUCUUGGUGUAGGGGUGAAAUCCGUAGAUAUCAAGAGGAAUACUCAUUGCGAAGGCGACCUGCUAGAACAUAACUGACGCUGAGGCGCGAAAGCGUGGGGAGCAAACAGGAUUAGAUACCCGGGUAGUC
rnacentral:rRNA from 1 species